rnacentral:tRNA from 1 species
UGCAUCGGCCGGGAAUCGAAACCGGGCCGCCCACGUGGUAGGCGAGCAUUUUACCACUGAACCAUCGAUGC